rnacentral:rRNA from 1 species
UACGGGGGGGGGCAAGCGUUGUUCGGAAUUACUGGGCGUAAAGGGCUCGUAGGCGGCCAACUAAGUCGGACGUGAAAUCCCUCGGCUUAACCGGGGAACUGCGUCUGAUACUGGAUGGCUUGAAUCCGGGAGAGGGAUGCGGAAUUCCAGGUGUAGCGGUGAAAUGCGUAGAUAUCUGGAGGAACACCGGUGGCGAAGGCGGCAUCCUGGACCGGCAUUGACGCUGAGGAGCGAAAGCCAGGGGGAGCAAACGGG